AGAUUGAACGCUAGCGGGAUGCUUUACACAUGCAAGUCGAACGGCAGCGCGGACUUCGGUCUGGCGGCGAGUGGCGAACGGGUGAGUAAUAUAUCGGAACGUGCCCAGUAGCGGGGGAUAACUACGCGAAAGCGUGGCUAAUACCGCAUACGCCCUACGGGGGAAAGGGGGGGAUUCUUCGGAACCUCUCACUAUUGGAGCGGCCGAUAUCAGAUUAGCUAGUUGGUGAGGUAAAGGCUCACCAAGGCGACGAUCUGUAGCUGGUUUGAGAGGACGACCAGCCACACGUGGGACUGAGACACGGCCCAGG
rnacentral:rRNA from 1 species